UACGUAGGGGGCAAGCGUUGUCCGGAUUUAUUGGGCGUAAAGAGCUCGUAGGCGGUUCGGUAAGUCGGAUGUGAAAUCUCCAGGCUCAACCUGGAGGGGUCAUUCGAUACUGCCGUGACUAGAGGUCGGUAGGGGAGUGUGGAAUUCCUGGUGGAGCGGUGAAAUGCGCAGAUAUCAGGAGGAACACCCGUAGCGAAGGCGGCCCUCUGGGCCGAUACUGACACUGAGGAGCGAAAGCGUGGGGAGCGAACAGG
rnacentral:rRNA from 1 species